UUUGGAUUGUAAAGCACUUUCGACCGGGACGAAGACAUGUUGGCUAACANCCAGCAGCUUGACGGUACCGGGAGAAGAAGCACCGGCUAACUCUGUGCCAGCAGCCGCGGUAAUACAGAGGGUGCAAGCGUUGUUCGGAAUUAUUGGGCGUAAAGCGCGUGUAGGCGGCUUUGCAAGUCGGAUGUGAAAGCCCUCGGCUCAACCGAGGAAGUGCGUUCGAAACUGCAGAGCUUGAGUACCGGAGAGGGUGGCGGAAUUCCCCAAGUAGAGGUGAAAUUCGUAGAUAUGGGGAGGAACACCGGUGGCGAAGGCGGCCACCUGGACGGUCACUGACGCUGAGACGCGAAAGCGUGGGUAGCAAACAGGAUUAGAUACCCUGGUAGUCCACGCCGUAAACGAUGAGAACUAGGUGUCGUGGGUGUUGACCCCCGCGGUGCCGUAGCUAACGCAUUAAGUUCUCC
rnacentral:rRNA from 1 species